rnacentral:rRNA from 1 species
UACGGGGGGGGCAAGCGUUGUUCGGAAUUACUGGGCGUAAAGGGCGCGUGGGCGGCGACUCAAGUUAGAUGUGAAAGUCCUGGGCUUAACCUGGGGACUGCAUUUGAUACUGGGUUGCUUGAAUUCGGGAGAGGAUAGCGGAAUUCCCAGUGUAGAGGUGAAAUUCGUAGAUAUUGGGAAGAACACCGGUGGCGAAGGCGGCUAUCUGGACCGACAUUGACGCUGAGGCGCGAAAGCGUGGGGAGCAAACAGG